rnacentral:rRNA from 1 species
CAGAGGGUGCAAGCGUUGUUCGGAAUUAUUGGGCGUAAAGCGCGUGUAGGCGGCGUGACAAGUCGGGUGUGAAAGCCCUCAGCUCAACUGAGGAAGUGCGCCCGAAACUGUCGCGCUUGAGUGUCGGAGAGGGUGGCGGAAUUCCCCAAGUAGAGGUGAAAUUCGUAGAUAUGGGGAGGAACACCGGUGGCGAAGGCGGCCACCUGGACGACUACUGACGCUGAGACGCGAAAGCGUGGGGAGCAAACAGGAUUAGAUACCCUGGUAGUCCACGCCGUAAACGAUGAGAACUAGGUGUCGUGGGAGUUGACCCCCGCGGUGCCGAAGCUAACGCAUUAAGUUCUCCGCCUGGGAAGUACGGUCGCAAGACUA